UAGAUUAUCGUACUAGGACCAAACCAACAAAAGCAUAAUAAUCGUACUAUUACCUCUCAACUUCCAACAAUUUAACCCUGGUUAACCUUUUUAACCCUAGUUAACACUAAAAACCACACUCCUCGUUUGUUUACACUUUUGCAGCAGCAGUUACAACCUCAUAGGUAGAAAAGCGCAAACGCCGUUCUUCUUUCUUUUCAUUCUCCACACCUUCAUUUCAUUGCAAAAAAAAAAAAAAAAAAAUCCUAGUUGGGGAGAUGGGGUAG
rnacentral:lncRNA from 1 species